ACAGCAUAAAGAAAUAGCAAACAGGUUCUAACUGUGUAAUUAAGAAUCAUUGCUGUAACGAAAGCCCAUUGAGAGGCUUAUUACAAAUUUAGAUUGUAUUCCUGAGAUUAACAAAAGGGAUUAAUAUGAGGAUUGUAAUUGCAAAUUACAGUGCUCUAGCAAGGGAGGUUGAGAGAUAAAUGGCUGAGACAAGUUAUGUUCCCUAGAACAAUGAAGAAAAGUGCACAUAGCUAAUUAACCUUGCGAUGAUUCUGGGAUCACUGAUUCAAAAUUAGUCACCAGUGCAAAUAUGGAUCUUGAGGAUCUUGAGGAAGGAAUGACCAGAACUGACAUGAGCCAGGAGGAGGAGGAGGAGAGUCAAAGCAAUCAUGCUGAGGAAGAGAGUAAUAGCUCAUUUGCUGUGUCAGAUUCCUCUGCAGAGACAGACGCCUUUAUCCAAGGCGACUUACAGAGACUAGGAACCAGUGUAUGGAGCAACAACGCCUUCAGCAUCUGGGAGGAGUGGCUUCUGUCAAGAUUCUCAGAAGACAACACUGUUCCACAGAGCGCAUAGUGUCGCAGUUACUUGAAGGUCUGAAAAAUAUAAAUCAACACAAUUCUGGUUCACCUCACAGAUAUGACACAUACCAUGCUUCACAGUUGCAUAAUCACAAGAUUUAAUCCUUCAAUCAACUGCCCUGCAACCAGUAAACCUGUCAGUGGGGCAAGGAUAUAUGGAGGCCCUGAAAGAACAACCAGAGAAUUGAUUAAUGAUUAUGUUUUACAUGACUUAUAGGUCAUUUUGUAUGAAAGGCUCCGCCCCCUCACCACACAGAAAAAAGAUCUACAACAUUUGACUUAGUAAGUCAGAAUUCUAACUUUGUAUGUCAGAAUUUUAACUUGGUAAAAUGGAGACAGCUAUUUCAGAAAUUUGUGAUGCUGAGUUGGAAUUCCGACUUAUUAGGUUAGAUGUUGUACAAAAACUUUGGUGGAACUAAUUUAUGUACUUUUGUAUUUCUUAUACUGUUCAAGAAGUGCCUGUGAAAGUAGCAUUUAUGAUUACAGUAAAAUACUAUUAAGCUGAGGGUUAAAAUUUUAUGGUACAAAUUUCAAUUUUUAUCUUUCUGCAAAAGAUUUUCAAAAACAGUAACUUGUCCAAUCUUAUAAUUUAGCAAAUGUUUCAAAUCACAUCAGUUUAUUUACUGAUAUUUAAUAGAACAUUUUUAAUAUAACAUUUUUUUUUGUUUUGAUAGUCAGUAUAUUUUUGUCAGUUACUUGUAUUCCAGUGCCUGUACCAUUGUAUUUGUUUUAAAAAAUUGUUCUGUGUUUAUAAAACAUUUGAAGCUAAUUAUUGUAGAUUUACAGUGGCUGUUGCUACUUACUGCAGUUGGUUGAAUUAGGGUUGUUUUUUAUUCCAUUGGUUCCCAACCCUGGUCCUGGAGGGCCCCUGUGUCUGCUGGUUUUUGUUCUAGCUCUGAUUACUUAAUUUGACCAUUAAUUUAACUAUAAUUGGUUUAUUUAGACAUUUUCAAUCGUUUUUAACUGUAAAACGUGUGGCGAUUGUUCAGAUAAAAACAAGCAGACACAGUGGUCCUCCAGGAACCACUCACUUACACGGCUUAAACCUGUGCACUUCAUGGGUCAUGCCAUUUGUAAUGUUACCCUCAAUAACUUGUACUCUAUGGCUACAAAACAUUGUACUGUAGUAAUGGUUCAGAAGGUACAAAUACAUAGUAUACAGAA